rnacentral:lncRNA from 1 species
GACAACCAGCCUUGCUCACGAAGCGUCAGCCGUAUCCUUUCUGUGUGCAGUGGGGUGUGGGUUGUGUGGAGCCGCGGUGUCUGUGGAAUUCACAGGCUGGGGCCGGAAUCCAUGGCCCCCGUCGCCGCUGCCACCCCCCAGGUGCUGGGGUGACCUGAUCCAGGGUUGGGGUCUAAGCUGCUGGGGGGUUGGAGUCUUGGGCUCUGGCCCACGUCCGCCUCUGAUUGGUUCUACCACCUGAGCCGGUCACUGACCCUCCAUGGGCCUCAGCUUACCCUAUGAUCCAUUAUUUAUUCUUCUCCAUCUUGUUCUGUGUUCCUGGAAGCCAACCUUUAUAAGCUGCAGGAAAUGGAUUUCCUACUCUCCACCUUCUGAUUGGGCUUGACCAACGGGGAGCACUGGCAGAAGACAAGCAUGGGAGGAAAAAGAGAUCAGGGCUGGAGUGCAGUGGCGUGAUCUCGGCUAGCUACAACCUCCACCUCCCAGCCGCCUGCCUUGGCCUCCCAAAGUGCCGAGAUUGCAGCCUCUGCCUGGCCGCCACCCCGUCUGGGAAGUGAGGAGCGCCUCUGCCCGGCCGUGACCCCGUCUGGGAACUGAGGAGUGUCUCUGCCCGACCGCCACCCCAUCUGGGAGGUGAGGAGCGUCUCUGCCCGGCCGCCCCGUCUGAGAAGUGAGGAGCCCCUCCACCCGGCAGCCGCCCUGUCUGGGAAGUGAGGAGCCCCUCCGCCCGGCAGCCACCCCGUCUGCCAAGCCCAGCAUCCAAUUCAGUCGCCUUCAAGGAGUCUCUUCAGUCUAAUUUAUUCUAGAACAAUUCUUCAGGCUUCCCUUCUCUGGCCAAGAUUUUUGAAAAAUACAGGUCAAUGACUUUGUAGGUUGUCUUCAGUUUGGAUUUGUCUGCUGUGUCCUCAUGAUUUAUGCAUCUCUGGCAGGAAUACCACAGAAACGAUGCGACAUUCUUCUCAGUGUACCAUAUUAGGAGUCACACAAUGUCAACUUGUCCCAUUACUGCUGAUGUUAAUGUUUACCACUUGGCUAAGAUGAUGUCUGCCAGGUUUCUCCACUGGAAAGUUAACAGUAUUUAGUACGUGUUAAGUGAUGAGUAAUGAAUAAAUAUUUCAUAGGGA